GUGUCAGCAGCCGCGGUAAUACGGAGGAUGCGAGCGUUAUCCGGAUUUAUUGGGUUUAAAGGGUGCGUAGGCGGAUUACUAAGUCAGUGGUGAAAACCUUCAGCUUAACUGGAGACUUGCCAUUGAUACUGAUAGUCUUGAGUACGGUCAAGGUAGGCGGAAUGUGUAAUGUAGCGGUGAAAUGCUUAGAUAUUACACAGAACACCGAUUGCGAAGGCAGCUUACUGGGCCAUUACUGACGCUGAUGCACGAAAGCGUGGGGAGCGAACAGGAUUAGAUACCCUGGUAGUCCACGCCGUAAACGAUGAUCACUCGCUGUUGGCGAUACACAGUCAGCGGCUAAGCAAAAGCAUUAAGUGAUCCACCUGGGGAGUACGGCCGCAAGGCUGAAACUCAAAUGAAUUGACGGGG
rnacentral:rRNA from 1 species